rnacentral:rRNA from 1 species
AUUGAACGCUGGCGGCAUGCCUUACACAUGCAAGUCGAACGGCAGCACGGGAGCAAUCCUGGUGGCGAGUGGCGAACGGGUGAGUAAUAUAUCGGAACGUGCCCAGUAGUGGGGGAUAACUGCUCGAAAGAGCAGCUAAUACCGCAUACGACCUGAGGGUGAAAGGGGGGGAUCGCAAGACCUCUCGCUAUUGGAGCGGCCGAUAUCAGAUUAGCUAGUUGGUGGGGUAAAGGCCUACCAAGGCAACGAUCUGGAGUUGGUCUGAGAGGACGACCGGCCGCACUGGGACUGCGAGACGGCCCAGACUCCUACGGGAGGCAGCAGUGGGGAAUUUUGGACAAUGGGCGCAAGCCUGAUCCAGCAAUGCCGCGUGCAGGAAGAAGGCCUUCGGGUUGUAAACUGCUUUUGUCAGGGAAGAAAUCCUCUAGGUUAAUACCCUUGGGGGGAUGACGGUACCUGAAGAAUAAGCACCGGCUAACUACGUGCCAGCAGCCGCGGUAAAAC